AGUGAACGCUGGCGGCAGGCCUAACACAUGCAAGUCGAACGGAAACACAGUAAGACUUUGCUCCUAUGACUGUAGCGUCGGGCACGGGAGUAGCACAUAUCGAACCUUACUUUUUGGCGGGGGUUAAUGCAGGGAAACUUACGUAAAUACCGCAAAUGUUCUACGGGUGAAAGAACGGGAUUUUAGGACCUUUCGGGUUUGAAUGAGCGGAUGACGGAUUAGCUAGUUGGCGGGGUAAUGGCUCACCAAGGCGACGAUCCGUAGCUGGUCUGAGAGGGUGAUCGGCCAAACUGGAACUGAGACACGGUCCAGACUCCUACGGGAGGCAGCAGUAGGGAAUAUUCGACAAUGGGCGAAAGCCUGAUCCAGCCCUACCGCGUGGGUGAAGAAGGCUUUCGGGUUGUAAAGCCCUUUUGUUGGGAAAGAACAACAACAGUAUUAUACGACGCUGCUUUGACGGUACCCAAAGAAUAAGCACCGGCUAACUACGUG
rnacentral:rRNA from 1 species